AUGUGCCCCGACGUAGGCUCCUGGAGGAUCACUUUUCGGCUGCGGGUGCCAGGGCAUUUGGCUGGACCUGCAGGUGGCAGGCACACAGUAGGCAUCUCAGAGGCUGCCUGCCAAUCCUCCUGCCAAACCCUUACUGGCCCUUGUUCUGGACAGAGGCAACUGCUGAGGCCUCAGCCUCAGGCUCAGGCUCAGGUGCUGGGACCCUGGUCCCACCUUGUCCCCACUGCUCCUGGGGCAGGGCAUGGAGGAGGCAGCCACAAGGAAGGGCUCGGGGGCUGGCCUGGCACCAGGUGUCCUCACCUUUCGCAGCAGUGCAAGGAGGAGAGAUGCAAUCAGAGGGGCAGCAGUGGUAGAAUGAGGUUUCAGCUCCUGCUUCCCAUAAGACUCAGGCUCCAGUUAGGGAUCUCAGGUGGUAGAGCUCUUUUCUGGAUGUGCCCUGACAUAGGCUCCUGGGGGACCACUUUUUGGCUGCGGGGACUGGGGCAUUUGGCUGGGACCUGCAGGCAGCAGGCACACAGCAGGCAUCUGAGAAUCCUCCUGCCAAACCCUUACUGGCCCUUGCUCUGGACAGAGGCAGCUGCUGAGGCCUCAGCCUCCUCAGACUCAGGCUCAGCCUCUGGGACCUCUGCACCACCGAGUCCCCACUGCUCCUGGGGCAGUGGGUGGAGGAGGCAGCCACAGGGACAGGCUCAAGCUGGGCUGGCACCAGGGCUCCUUUUGUCUUGCAGCAGUGCAAGGAGGAGAGACGCAAGCGGAGGGUCAGUGGAGUCAGAAUCAGGCUCAGGUUCCUGCUCUGGCUCAGGUUCAGGUGCUGGGACCACUGGCACCACCGGGUCCCCACUGCUCCUAGGGCAGGAGGUGGGGGAGUUGGCCACAGGGAUGGGCUCGGGGACUGGGCUCGCAAUGGGUUCCUCUUCACUUGCAGUAGUUCAAGGUGGAGAGAUGCAAGCAGAGGGGAAGUGGGGGCGGAUUCAGGCUCUGGCUCUGGCUCCUGCUCGGGCUCAGGCUCAGGCUCAGGCUCAGCCUCUGGGACAUCUGGCCCCACCAGGUCCCCAUUGCUCCUGGGGCAGGGGUUGGAUGAGGUGGCCCCAGGGACGGGCUCGGGGGCUGGGCUGGACCAGGGCUCCUUACCUCUUACUGCCAUCCCAGGAGCAGAGAUGCAAGCAGAGUUCAGCAGUGGUGGAAUCAGGCUCCGGCUCUUGCUCGAGCUUAGGCUCAGGCUCCAGUUCAGGCAUCUCAGAGGGUAGACCUCUUUUCUAG
rnacentral:lncRNA from 1 species